GCCCCGGCUAACUACGUGCCAGCAGCCGCGGUAAUACGUAGGGGGCGAGCGUUGUCCGGAAUUAUUGGGCGUAAAGGAUACGUAGGCGGCUUUUUAAGUUUGACGUGAAAGCCCGGGGCUUAACUCCGGCAAGCGUUGAAAACUGGAGGGCUUGAGUGAUGGAAGGGACAGUGGAAUUCCUGGUGUAGUGGUGAAAUGCGCAGAGAUCAGGAAGAAUACCAGUGGCGAAGGCGACUGUCUGGACAUUAACUGACGCUGAGGUACGAAAGCGUGGGUAGCAAACAGGAUUAGAUACCCUGGUAGUCCACGCUGUAAACGAUGAGUGUUAGGUGUCUGGGGUAGCCUGGGUGCCGCCGUUAACACAGUAAGCACUCCGCCUGGGGAGUACGUACGCA
rnacentral:rRNA from 1 species